UCCAACAUGGAUAGUCUGGGAGGUCACUCUCCCCAGGCUCUGUGGAAGUGGUGUUGGGGAGCAUAGACGUUUGGUCCAUGACGUACAGUACAGCCCCUUUCCACAAUGCUGGAGAUGAAGCUGGGUCUCCUGUCUGCGCCUGCAUAUUCCUAUAGCUUCCCUGAGUCCUGUGGAUGAUGACUGGUGAGACAAAUCGUGCAGGAAACAAGU
rnacentral:snoRNA from 10 species